rnacentral:tRNA from 1 species
GGAGAUGUGGCAGAGUGGUCGAAUGCGGCAGUCUUGAAAACUGUUGUACCGCAGGGUACCGGGGGUUCGAAUCCCUCCAUCUCCGCCA